GAGCGGACGGGCCACCGGCGAAGCCCUCCAUUGGACGAACCAUGCUGAGGGAUCCCUCUGGGAGCCAACCAAAGGCGCGAAUCUGGAGCCGAAGAGGCAGGAUCGCCAAGCGGACCCGUUUUGGAGGUCACAGCUCCUCUGGGCGCGGCUUAGUGGCGGAGCUUGCGGUGAGGGGAGGGUCUUCCACUUGUCGCCAGCGUGAACUCUGGUGCCCCGUGAGUGUUCGGAAUGGACCCCCAAAUCUGCCCCCGCCAGGUCGCACUCGACUCUGUUUCGACGACUUUUUUUGUAUCACUUUCUCUUCCUUUUUGCCUUGGGGUCCCUUUGGUCCCUCCCUUUCUCUUCGCUCUCAGAAAGCCGAGUUUCGCAGAUGCUUAGCUCAGAGGAGAAAAUUGUGUGCGGAAUUAAGUCCUUCCUUCUGUUAGGCAGUUGGAUGGGAGGGACCAAAAAUCACUUGGUGUCCUGACAAGAUUUGUUACUGUUGCUAAGAUCGUCAGCUCUAAUGCUUUGAGGGAGAUAACUUCCUGCAAACCCAGAACUUUCGGAUUUCUUCCGAGCUUGAAGCUUCUUCACUUACCACACCAGAAGAAACCUUGCAUGUGUGCAUUCAACAUGUCCAAGCUUAUGUCCACAUCCUUCACUUCCUGCAAAUAGUGAUGUCUAAUCAGCACAGCUCUGUCUGCCCCCUGAUCUGGGCACACAUGGUCCCCUGAUCUCAUGGACUCCUUUCACUUUGCAAUUGGAGGAAGAUCCUUCCAGGUACAGAACGGCUCCAGCUGAAUAAGUAAAACAACACCAAGUUAUAGCAUGAGAUUUUAUGUGGCAUUAUAUCUCCUACAGGGAUGUUCAAGGCUAUAAGAAAAGCACUGAUUAUAAUUCUGUCCUUUAGGAAGAAAGAUCACGCCACAUGAAGAUGGAGGCAGAUGUUGGACUGAUGCUUCUACAAGCCAGAGAACUCCAAGGUGGCCAGCAUAUCAUCAGAAGCUAUGGGAGAGGCAUGAAACAGAUCUUUCCCUCACUGCCCUCAGAAGGAACAGGUGGUGCUGACACCUUGAUCUCAGAUUCUAGCCUCCAAAACUGUGAGACAAUUUUCUCUUGUUUAAGCCAUCUAGUUUAUGGUACUUUGUUAUGGUGGCCUUUGAAACUAAUACAUGGUGCAUGGUCGAAAAGUUUGGAGACCCCAGUUAGAGAAUGAGAGCCAUGGAAGAAUUGGUAUAUGUUUAAGAGUCCAAACUAUAUAUGUCCUGUCUUUAUUCAUUUUCCAUAUUUAAUAACUUAUUUUAGGGCACCUAGGUGGCUCAGUUGGUUAAGCAUCUGACUUCAUUCAUGUCAUCAUCUCACAGCUCAUGAGUUUGAGCCCUGCAUUAGAC